UUGGGGAAGAUCGCAACUUGUACCAUCUGCGGUCAGGAGGAUGAAGAUGAGUUCCACGCAGUGGUGGCGUGCACAAAAGCUAAAGCUCUCCGGAGUGAGAUGAGAAAAGUUUGGGCCUUACCCAAAGAGAAAGAAUUCAGGUACACAGGGAGGGACUGGCUCCAAUGCCUCUUAGCGAAGUGCGAUGAAGACACAAGGGAGAAGCUAAUGUUACUGUUCUGGAGAGCUUGGUUCCUACGCGAUGACUGCGUUCAUGGAGAAGGAAAAGCA
rnacentral:rRNA from 1 species